AUGCGGAAACUAAAAGGCGAGUACCAUGGGAUCAUGAAGUAUAUAAAGCAAAGGAGGAGCUGUACCAUCUCCUCUCCGGCAAGAAUUUUUUUUUCGUUGGCGAUUGAACGAAUUGAAUGCAAGAUUGCAUUGUUAGAAGGACGGAGAGUGGAACACCAGCUUCAGUUUCUCAGAUCCCACCUUCUCAACUUGAUUCCCUGUUUGCAUUCGCCAUUCUCAACAAGCACCAGGACAUGGCUUUGGUUCUGCACAAACAAUAUCUUCAGGGAAAGAACUAUUGAGCAAGCUGAAUUGCUAUUGAAUAAUAUAUUGAGUAAUGAAAAUGAUUGGACACUUCCUGAACCAACUCCGAAGCCAACUCCGAAGAAGAGGGGUAUUCUAUUUCUCAACCCUGAAGAUAUGCAAGAGGCAAAGAAAUCUAUGAAAGAAAAAGGUAUUAAAGCUGAAGAUGUUAAGAAUCUACCACCUAUUAAAGAAAUACAUGGUCUUGAUAACCCGACAUAG
rnacentral:rRNA from 1 species